GCCAGGUUGGAUGGGGCCCUGGGCAGCCUGGUCUGGUAUUAAAUGUGGAGGUUGGUUGUCCUGCAUGUGACAGGAGGUUGGAGAUUCACGAUCCUUGAGGCUCUCCCAGUCCUGGCCAUUCUGUGGAAGCAACUGUAGAUCAUCAUUUUCCAUCUGGGAAACAUCCUCCAAAGGAUGGCAGCCAGUGAAACUGCAAGUCAUGGAUUUUUUUU